UGAGGAACAUGACCUUCGGCGGGGGAGUAGCCGGCCCAACGGCCGGGUAAUACCGCGUACGACCACUUUGGGACAUCCCUAGGUGGUGAAAGCAGCAAUGCGCCGAUGGAGUGCCUCGCGGCCUAUCAGCUAGUUGGUGAGGUAACGGCUCACCAAGGCGACGACGGGUAGCUGGUCUGAGAGGAUGGCCAGCCACAUUGGGACUGAGACACGGCCCAGACCUCCUACGGGGAGCAG
rnacentral:rRNA from 1 species